rnacentral:rRNA from 1 species
GUGGGGAAUAUUGGACAAUGGGCGAAAGCCUGAUCCAGCCAUGCCGCGUGUGUGAAGAAGGUCUUCGGAUUGUAAAGCACUUUAAGUUGGGAGGAAGGGCAGUAAGUUAAUACCUUGCUGUUUUGACGUUACCGACAGAAUAAGCACCGGCUAACUUCGUGCCAGCAGCCGCGGUAAUACGAAGGGUGCAAGCGUUAAUCGGAAUUACUGGGCGUAAAGCGCGCGUAGGUGGUUUUGUAAGUUGGAGGUGAAAUCCCCGGGCUCAACCUGGGAACUGCCUCCAAAACUGCAUGACUAGAGUACGGUAGAGGGUAGUGGAAUUUCCUGUGUAACGGUGAAAUGCGUAGAUAUAGGAAGGAACACCAGUGGCGAAGGCGACUACCUGGACUGAUACUGACACUGAGGUGCGAAAGCGUGGGGAGCAAACAGGAUUAGAUACCCCAGUAGUCC